GUAGGUGAAGUAGGCUGGCAAGAUAAGAAGGGGCCUGACCAUAUAGAGCCCUAUAGGUUAUGGUGAGAAUUUUAACUUGGAUCCUUGGAGAUGACAAAGG